CCGGCUGUUCCGUCAGCCGUAACCUACCGAUGCAUGCGGAACUGGUAACGGUUCGGUGUGAAGCCAUCGGGACAACGCAACCCGUUCAUUGAACGACCAGGGUCUCGUGAGAGACGCAGAUCGUCUGCCAGCACCAAGGCGGACAGGGUG
rnacentral:ncRNA from 1 species